rnacentral:pre_miRNA from 1 species
AAUUACUCCCUGCGUCCCAUUUUAAGUGCACGUUUGAACGUCCGUCUUAUUUCAAAGUUUUUGUGAUUAAUAUUUUUAUUUUUAUUAGAUGAUAAAACAUGAAUAAUAUUUUAAGCAUGGCCUUUUUAUUUUUUUUUAUAAAUUUUUUAAAUAAGAUAUACGGUCAAAUGUUGAACUGUACUUAAU